GACGAACGCUGGCGGCGUGCUUAACACAUGCAAGUCGAACGGAAAGGCCCUGCUUUUGUGGGGUGCUCGAGUGGCGAACGGGUGAGUAACACGUGAGUAACCUGCCCUUGACUUUGGGAUAACUUCAGGCAACUGGGGCUAAUACCGGAUAGGAGCUCCUGCUGCAUGGUGGGGGUUGGAAAGUUUCGGCGGUUGGGGAUGGACUCGCGGCUUAUCAGCUUGUUGGUGGGGUAGUGGCUUACCAAGGCUUUGGCGGGUAGCCGGCCUGGGAGGGUGACCGGCCACAUUGGGCCUGCGAUACGGCCCAGACUCCUACGGGAGGCAGCAGUGGGGAAUAUUGCACAAUGGGCGGAAGCCUGAUGCAGCAACGCCGCGUGCGUGAUGACGGCCUUCGGGUUGGAAACCGCUUUCGCCUGUGACGAAGCUUGAGUGACGGUAAUGGGUAAAGAAGCACCGGCUAACUACGUG
rnacentral:rRNA from 1 species